UGGGGAAUUUUGCACAAUGGGGGAAACCCUGAUGCAGCGACGCCGCGUGAUUUAGAAGGCCUUCGGGUUGUAAAAAUCUUUUCUAUGGGAAUAAAAUGACAGUACCAUAGGAAUAAGGACCGGCUAAUUACGUGCCAGCAGCCGCGGUAAUACGUAAGGUCCGAGCGUUGUCCGGAAUCAUUGGGCGUAAAGGGUACGUAGGCGGGUAAGCAAGUUAGAAGUGAAAUCCUAUAGCUCAACUAUAGUAAGCUUUUAAAACUGCUCAUCUUGAGGUAUGGAAGGGAAAGUGGAAUUCCUAGUGUAGCGGUGAAAUGCGCAGAUAUUAGGAGGAAUACCGGUGGCGAAGGCGACUUUCUGGCCAUAACCUGACGCUGAGGUACGAAAGCGUGGGUAGCAAACAGG
rnacentral:rRNA from 1 species